AUUGGGAAAUGAUGCAAAAUAUGAAUCAGAGGCUGUUUCUGAGAGGCAGUAGCAAGUUUGCUUUGCCUUUGCUGAAAAAUUUACACGCCAAUCUGAUCCCAGG